GCUGGGCGAGGUGGCGCACGCCUGUGAUCCCAGCAGCUCAGGAGGCUGAGGCAGGAGGAUCAGGAAUUCCAAGCCAGCCUCAG
rnacentral:sRNA from 1 species